UUCUGAGAGGGUCCCAAGAGCAGAGUUUCUGAGGAGCUGUGCAGUAUUCUCUAGAAAGACCUAUGUCCGUUACCCUCUCCUUUUUUCAUGAAUGGCUCAGUCUUGGGAGGGGAACAAUGGAGUGAGUGUAUCAUCUCCAGCAAUCCUUUCACCACAGAUUUCAAAAGCAUAUAUUCCAGCCACAGUAUGCUCUGAAAUGCUUUAUUUAAAAAUACUCCGCUCAUGACUAACUCCUACCAGGGCAAAUGAGAAUGUUUAACAUGCAAGAAUAUUGGAGUGGGUAGUCAUUUCCUUCUCCAGAGGAUCUUCCUGACUCAGGCAUUGAACCUGCAUCUCCUGUGUCUCCUGCAUUGGCAGAUGGAUUCUUUACGACUGCGCCACCUGGAAAACCCAUUGACUCCUUUAGGAUCUUUAAAAAAUAUAUUUAUUUUUUACUUUGCCAACACUUUUGCCUUUUCAAACAGUAUGCUCCAUUGCCUUUUUUAGUUAAUUUUUUACUUUUUAAAGUUUGGGGGUUUUUCGUUUGUUUGUUUUUGUUUGUUUUACACAUUAUUGAACACUUUUUGGAUUUUAAAGCAAUUUACUUUUAAUCUUUAUUUUUGUUA
ensembl:lncRNA